GGCAGGGACCUCAUCAACAUAAAUUAUAUAUUAUUAUUCAAUAAACACAAUUGCAGUCAUUAAAAUACAUAUAUACACCAAGGAAAAAGAAGAAACUUAAAGAAGAGUGGCUGAGCAAUAACCUAUUUGGUAGCUAUAAAGAGGAAGGUAGGAAAGUUCAGAUCCUCUUUGGCUGUCCAAAGAAUAAUGAUAAUAAUCACAACAAUACAAUGAAAGAAAUAAGAUAGAAGCCCAAGAAUAGAGGUGCAAAAAGAGAGGGAUUGGAGUAAAGAUGUUUUUCUUCCAUUGAUUUGGUAGAAGUAUAGAAGUUAACAAAAUGCUGAAUAAAUCUUUUUACACUGCAUCUACUCUUACUUUUAGUCUUGAACCCCACCUUCCAAAAAUCUUGGCAAGAAUCAUCUGA
rnacentral:misc_RNA from 1 species